GAUUUUUUUUUUUUUUUUUACAGACAGAUCUCAGAUUUGACCUGUAGGAGGCGCACUUUUCCAAAAAUAAAAUAAGUGCGGUCGAACUGCCAUCCAUUCUCCAUCAAGAUUACGCGUUUUCCAGGACAGUAUCCAGAUGAAAUGGUAAUCUUAAUAUGUAUUGCCACUAGGAUGACCACCUCCAGUAACCUGUCUAAUUUUCAUUAGUGUUUUUUUUUUUCUUUUCUUUUUUUUUUUCUUUUAAAUAAUCUAAUGUUUUAGACAAUAAUGCGCCAUCCCUGCACUGUCCCCAUUUCUAUGUAAGUGCCUGUACGGGAGAAUCAAUAGGAGUUCAUAGCAUCUGAAUAAAACAUUCCUCUUUGUCUCAGAGUUUUAAUCAUAUAUUUCUCUGGGUCUCAUAGCUUCAGACACUUGAUUGAGACAGCUAAAUCAAUUGUAGGGAAUUAGCAUAGAGAGUCGGUCUGAAUGUACAGUGAGGGACGGUUCUGAAAUGAUACAUUCCUUGCUUCUACCAUCAGCCUGAACUGACAGAGCACAAAUUCCAAGUACUUUGGGAAGCUUUUUACUAUCACUUCGCUCAUUCAAUUAAUACUCAUUAUUACUCCACCAUAGGAAGCAAAGGAGACACUUGUGUGUGUGUGUUUACACUGUGGGAAGCCCAGUAUCUGACUUGUAUCUUAGUGCAGACUUCAAGAAAUAACAUUUCUGGAGGAUGUUCUGUACACCAUCAGCACUGCAGAUUGAAAAGGAAAGUUUUUCAGGAUCUGAGAACUGGCUCAAGAGGCAGAUCCAAUCAGUUUCCCUUGCCCAGAUUUCCUCUGGUGCUUGAUCUGGGAUUGAUCUCUGCCACCCUCAAGAAUUCUGUUUCAGUCAAGACCUGGGAGGAUUACAUGAAUUCCUGGUUCGUCGAAGAGUAAAAUUUGGAUAGUUGGUCAUUCAUUUAUUUAUUGGGCCAAGAAUCGAGUCAAGGACUUAUUCUGCCAAUUAAGGUUUGAACUCUAAUAUAUUGCAAGUUCUCCACCUGAAGUUUUAAUUAUUCACACCGGGGCUAAUGAUGUUGGAAAAAUAAGGAUAUGGGAGCUUCUCUGUGAGAUGAAAAAAAUGUAUGUUCUUUUAAACUAUUAUUCCCUCAUGCUGUCUUGGCCUAUCCAGAGAUGAUUCCUAGGCGUAUGUGGUCUCCACAGGGUAAUUUUCACUACAUUGAUAAGAUUCAGAGAUGCCUGAAUAGGACAGUCCAUACCUAUUUAGUUUCCUCUGGUGGACUGUCAUACCGUCAUGUUGAACUUGCCUGGUCUAUUUAGGCAUAACCUGGUGCAUCUGUUUGGACUCAACAUAUUCAACAUGGGUCUGCAAAACUUGAUUGGUUUAGCCACGGUGUUGGGGGACCCUCGGCCAGCCAGUUUUUGGCUGGUCUCGGCUAGUGGGGAUUAGUCGUUAAGUUUAUCUGGACUGACAUUGUGACUAAUUUUGUUUAUGGUGGAUGGUUUAGCCAAAGAUAGCUAUAUAUUGAUUAAAUAAAUCUGUUUUUUGAUUUUAAUUAAGGUUGCCCAAUUUAAUAGCACUGUGGCCAAAAUAACUUCCAAUAAAGUAU